rnacentral:rRNA from 1 species
AAUUUUGGACAAUGGGGGAAACCCUGAUCCAGCCAUCCCUCUUGUGCGAUGAAUGCCUUCGGGUUGUAAAGCACUUUUCGCAGGGAAGAAAAGGCUCUGGAUAAUACCCUGACCUGCUGACGGUACCUGCAGAAUAAGCACUUGCAAACCACCCACAAUCACCCGGGGUAAUACGUAGGGUGCAAGCGUUAAUCGGAAUUACUGGGCGUAAAGCGUGCGCAGGCGGUUUGGCAAGAAGGAUGUGAAAUCCCAGGGCUUAACCUUGGAACUGCAUUCUUAACUGCCAGGCUAGAGUAUGUCAGAGGGGGGUAGAAUUCCGCGUGUAGCAGUGAAAUGCGUAGAGAUGCGGAGGAAUACCGAUGGCGAAGGCAGCCCCCUGGGAUAAUACUGACGCUCAUGCACGAAAGCGUGGGGAGCAAACAGG